rnacentral:tRNA from 1 species
UCCCUGGUGGCUCAGACGGUAAAGCGUCUGCCUGCAAUGCGGGAGACCCGGGUUCGAUUCCUGGGUUGGGAG